GACGAACGCUGGCGGCGUGCCUAAUACAUGCAAGUUGAGCGCUGAAGGUUGGUACUUGUACCAACUGGAUGAGCAGCGAACGGGUGAGUAACGCGUGGGGAAUCUGCCUUUGAGCGGGGGACAACAUUUGGAAACGAAUGCUAAUACCGCAUAAAAACUUUAAACACAAGUUUUAAGUUUGAAAGAUGCAAUUGCAUCACUCAAAGAUGAUCCCGCGUUGUAUUAGCUAGUUGGUGAGGUAAAGGCUCACCAAGGCGAUGAUACAUAGCCGACCUGAGAGGGUGAUCGGCCACAUUGGGACUGAGACACGGCCCAAACUCCUACGGGAGGCAGCAGUAGGGAAUCUUCGGCAAUGGACGAAAGUCUGACCGAGCAACGCCGCGUGAGUGAAGAAGGUUUUCGGAUCGUAAAACUCUGUUGGUAGAGGAGAACGUUGGUGAGAGUGGAAAGCUCAUCAAGUGACGGUAACUACCCAGAAAGGGACGGCUAACCACGUG
rnacentral:rRNA from 1 species